rnacentral:lncRNA from 1 species
CUCAAUGCCAUGGAAAUAUUAGAGGUCCCAACACUCUUUGGCAGACUUUGUGGAACUACACCUCCCAUGAUCCAACAGCACUGAGCCACUGUAGUUAAAGUGGUGGCCAUUCACCAGAAGCAAACCUACAGGAUGUAAAGGGCGGAGUGCAUGGCUGAGAAACUGGGCUGUUGACAGGUUGAACACCAUGCCAGGCAGCCUCCAUUAAUGACAACUUGUUGGGGUUCCUCAUCUCCAGGGCAGCAGUAGCCAGGGCUGACAGACAGCCAGGUGGUAUAGUAGGCAGUGAAUCAGUGCACAUUGGAUCUGAUCCUGUUAUCCCGGAUCCAUGGGAUACUCCUGAGUAUCUUUCAACAUUCCCCAAAUGUGGAAAGCCAGUUUAAGGCCAAAAAAUUGCUAUACUGAAAGUAGGUGAGUGUCCUGGAAACAGCCAGAAGUGAAAUCGAGGUGAGUCUUGAGUUUUCUUGCCCAUGUAGACUUGUCCAAAGUCUCACAUUGCCAUUUCCCCAUUAGAUUUGUUCAGCACGACUGCUCCCCUACUCUCAGUGGGAGACUCAUUGUACACUAUUGAUAUAGCAUCAUUUGAAGGGAUGAAAUUGAACCAAAGUCAAACUGAUGCUGUUAUCAGAUGAUAUAGUGGUCUUUUCUGAGGAUAAAAAAAUGGACCCAGUGCACAAACAUUUGCUGAGCAAAAAAAGUUAAUUUUGGGUUUGAUAUGUCAGAAAGGAAUGCACACAAAUUACACCACAAGGGAUAUCUGUAAUCUAUAUAUAUAAAAGGGUAAUGAAAAUUCGGCCUAGGACAAAACAACAAAACUACACAUCCCAGAAACACUAAACUUGGCAACACAACCCCUCAUCCAUGCCUCUACGUUCAUACAACAAAAAGAAAAGAAAAAUAAAGUCCUAAUUAGAGGGAGAGGAAUAAUUGUUUUUAUCCAAUUGCUGCCAGUUAGAAGGCUAAGCUCUGCCCACUUGGUCUCCUAGCAACCUACUCAGCCCAACAGAUGGCCACCUAGCCUCUCAAUAGUAAUAGUAAUAAUAAUAAUAAUAAUAAUAAUAAUAAUAAUAAUAAAUAAUUAAUACAAUCCUAAGGUUAGCAGAUAGCCCUAAGGAUCAUCCAGUUCAACUUCCUUGGUUCACAAUCCAACCACUCCUCACAGAUGGCCAUCCAAUAUCUGCACAAUAAUAAUACACAUCGAAUCAUAGCAUCAGACAGUUAGGAGACACCUCUAAAGGCCAUCCAGUCCAACCCAAUUCUGCCAUGCGGGACACAAUCCAAGCACUCCCAACAGAUGGCCACCCAGCCUCUCAAUACUACUACUAAUAAUAAUAAUAACAACAACAUCAUC